CCCCCUUUCCGGGGGGCCGGGGUUGACCCUAGACCUCCCACCCUUGUCGAUCGUACCGUGUUGCUUCGGCGGGCCCGCCAUUGGCCGCCGGGGGGCUGGGGCUCGCGACUUGUGAGCGCCGCCCCCGGGCCCGUGCCCGCCGGAGACCUCCCUCGAAAUGCUACUGUGGUCAGAAAUGCUGUCUGAGUGGGAAUGAUGUGAGAAAUUGAUCAGUCAAAACUUUCAACAAUGGAUCUCUUGGUUCCGGCAUCGAUGAAGAACGCAGCGAAAUGCGAUAAGUAAUGCGAAUUGCAGAAUUCCGUGAGUCAUCGAAUCUUUGAACGCACAUUGCGCCCCCCGGCUUCCCGGGGGGCAUGCCUGUCCGAGCGUCAUUGCCAUCCCCUCAAGCUCCGCUUGGCUGGUUGGGCCGACGUCCACCCGUGGCUUUGUGCCGGGGGGGACGGGCCCGAAAGGCAGUGGCGGCUCCCGGAGGGUGGUCCCUUGGGGCGGUUGAUACAUGGGUUGUCAUCUUCCACCGCUCCGUUGGCCACGCUCCGGGGGUCCAGUCGAACGAUUGGUCUUCCCCUUUAGGUUGACCUCGGAUCAGGUAGGGAUACCCGCUGAACUUAAGCAUAUCAAU
rnacentral:rRNA from 1 species